rnacentral:rRNA from 1 species
AUUGAACGCUGGCGGCAGGCCUAACACAUGCAAGUCGAACGGCGUGGCAGACGUGUGAGUAAUGUCUGGGAAACUGCCUGAUGGGGGGGGAUAACUCCUGGAAACGGUAGCUAAUACCGCAUACUAUCAGCUGCGCCUAGGUCGGAUUAGCUAGUGGGUGGGGGAAAGGCCUACCAAGGCGACGAUCCUUAACGGGUUUGAGAGGAUGACCAGUCACACUGGAACUGAGACACGGUCCAGACUCCUACGGGAGGCAGCAUGGGGGAAUAUUGGACAAUGGGCGAAAUCCUGAUCCAGCCAUGCCGCGUGUGUGAAGAAGGUCUUCGGAUUGUAAAGUACUUUAAGUUGGGAGGCGUUACCAACAGAAUAAGCACCGGCUAACUUCGUGCCAGCCGCCGCGGUAAUAC